rnacentral:misc_RNA from 1 species
GAUGAAGAACGUAGCGAAAUGCGAUACGUAAUGUGAAUUGCAGAAUUCAGUGAAUCAUCGAAUCUUUGAACGCAUAUUGCGCUCUUUGGUAUUCCGAAGAGCAUGCUUGUUUGAGUAUCAGUAAACACCUCAAAAGAUUUUCAUUUUUGAAAUGAUUUUGGACUUGAGCAAUCCCAACACCAGUCUUCACGGAUCGGCGGAGGGUUGCUUGAAAUGCAGGUGCAGCUGGUCAUUCUCCUGAGCUAAAAGCAUAUCUAUUUAGUCCCGUCAAACGGAUUAUUACUUUUGCUGCAGCUAACAUAAAGGGAGUUUGACCAUUUUGGCUGACUGAUGCAGGAUUUCACAAGGGUCGGUAAAACGAUUUUUGUAAAACUCGAUCUCAAAUCAAGUAAGACUACCCGCUGAACUUAAGCAUAUCAAUAAGCGGAGGA